GAUGAAGAACGUAGCGAAAUGCGAUAAGUAAUGUGAAUUGCAGAAUUCAGUGAAUCAUCGAAUCUUUGAACGCGCAUUGCGUCCAUUGGUAUUCCGAGGGGCAUGCCUGUUCGAGCGUCAUUAUAACCCCUCAAGCUCAGCUUGGUGUUGGGGCCUGCUGCACUGGCAGCCCUUAAAAUCAGUGGCGGCGCCAUCUGGCUCUAAGCGUAGUAAUUCUUCUCGCUAUGGAGUCCUGGUGGAUGCUUGCCAUCAACCCCCAAUUUUUCUAUGGUUGACCUCGGAUCAGGUAGGGAUACCCGCUGAACUUAAGCAUAUCAAUAAGCGGAGGA
rnacentral:misc_RNA from 1 species